CCAGGAAAAAAAAUCAAAGCAGUAAUUGUCACCUACGAAUUCCCAAGAACUUUUCCCUUCACAGAUUGAUGUCGAUAUUCAGAUCUAUUACGGAGGGUUGGGUCAACACCAAUUUCUGCUUUUCAAUCGAUUUUCAAAUCUCGGUGGCUACAUUAGUAUCUAAGACCUUUUUGAUACCCUCUAAAAACAUCGGAGUCGUAGAAGGCCAAAAGUACAGAUGUUCUUUGAGCCUCGACCUCGUCAAGCUUAUCGCUAAGGAUUUGGAAUUCGAUAUCUCAGCAUUCAUCCAGG